rnacentral:rRNA from 1 species
UACGUAGGGUGCAAGCGUUGUCCGGAAUUAUUGGGCGUAAAGAGCUCGUAGGCGGUUUGUUGCGUCGGCUGUGAAAUCCCGAGGCUCAACCCCGAACUUGCAGUGGGUACGGGCAGACUAGAGUGUGGUAGGGGAGACUGGAAUUCCUGGUGUAGCGGUGAAAUGCGCAGAUAUCAGGAGGAACACCGAUGGCGAAGGCAGGUCUCUGGGCCACUACUGACGCUGAGAAGCGAAAGCAUGGGGAGCGAACAGG